rnacentral:rRNA from 1 species
UACGUAGGGUGCAAGCGUUGUCCGGAAUUAUUGGGCGUAAAGAGCUCGUAGGCGGUUUGUCGCGUCGGGAGUGAAAUCCAUUGGCUUAACUGGUGGCUUGCUUUCGAUACGGGCAGACUGGAGGUAUGCAGGGGAGAACGGAAUUCCUGGUGUAGCGGUGAAAUGCGCAGAUAUCAGGAGGAACACCGGUGGCGAAGGCG